rnacentral:rRNA from 1 species
CUUAGGCGUGUGACUGCGUACCUUUUGUAUAAUGGGUCAGCGACUUAUAUUCUGUAGCAAGGUUAACCGAAUAGGGGAGCCGAAGGGAAACCGAGUCUUAACUGGGCGUUAAGUUGCAGGGUAUAGACCCGAAACCCGGUGAUCUAGCCAUGGGCAGGUUGAAGGUUGGGUAACACUAACUGGAGGACCGAACCGACUAAUGUUGAAAAAUUAGCGGAUGACUUGUGGCUGGGGGUGAAAGGCCAAUCAAACCGGGAGAUAGCUGGUUCUCCCCGAAAGCUAUUUAGGUAGCGCCUCGUGAAUUCAUCUCCGGGGGUAGAGCACUGUUUCGGCAAGGGGGUCAUCCCGACUUACCAACCCGAUGCAAACUGCGAAUACCGGAGAAUGUUAUCACGGGAGACACACGGCGGGUGCUAACGUCCGUCGUGAAGAGGGAAACAACCCAGACCGCCAGCUAAGGUCCCAAAGUCAUGGUUAAGUGGGAAACGAUGUGGGAAGGCCCAGACAGCCAGGAUGUUGGCUUAGAAGCAGCCAUCAUUUAAAGAAAGCGUAAUAGCUCACUGGUCGAGUCGGCCUGCGCGGAAGAUGUAACGGGGCUAAACCAUGCACCGAAGCUGCGGCAGCGACGCUGAUGCGUUGUUGGGUAGGGGAGCGUUCUGUAAGCCUGUGAAGGUGUGCUGUGAGGCAUGCUGGAGGUAUCAGAAGUGCGAAUGCUGACAUAAGUAACGAUAAAGCGGGUGAAAAGCCCGCUCGCCGGAAGACCAAGGGUUCCUGUCCAACGUUAAUCGGGGCAGGGUGAGUCGACCCCUAAGGCGAGGCCGAAAGGCGUAGUCGAUGGGAAACAGGUUAAUAUUCCUGUACUUGGUGUUACUGCGAAGGGGGGACGGAGAAGGCUAUGUUGGCCGGGCGACGGUUGUCCCGGUUUAAGCGUGUAGGCUGGUUUUCCAGGCAAAUCCGGAAAAUCAAGGCUGAGGCGUGAUGACGAGGCACUACGGUGCUGAAGCAACAAAUGCCCUGCUUCCAGGAAAAGCCUCUAAGCAUCAGGUAACAUCAAAUCGUACCCCAAACCGACACAGGUGGUCAGGUAGAGAAUACCAAGGCGCUUGAGAGAACUCGGGUGAAGGAACUAGGCAAAAUGGUGCCGUAACUUCGGGAGAAGGCACGCUGAUAUGUAGGUGAAGUCCCUCGCGGAUGGAGCUGAAAUCAGUCGAAGAUACCAGCUGGCUGCAACUGUUUAUUAAAAACACAGCACUGUGCAAACACGAAAGUGGACGUAUACGGUGUGACGCCUGCCCGGUGCCGGAAGGUUAAUUGAUGGGGUCAGCGCAAGCGAAGCUCUUGAUCGAAGCCCCGGUAAACGGCGGCCGUAACUAUAACGGUCCUAAGGUAGCGAAAUUCCUUGUCGGGUAAGUUCCGACCUGCACGAAUGGCGUAAUGAUGGCCAGGCUGUCUCCACCCGAGACUCAGUGAAAUUGAACUCGCUGUGAAGAUGCAGUGUACCCGCGGCAAGACGGAAAGACCCCGUGAACCUUUACUAUAGCUUGACACUGAACAUUGAGCCUUGAUGUGUAGGAUAGGUGGGAGGCUUUGAAGUGUGG